AGAACGAACGCUGGCGGCAUGCCUAACACAUGCAAGUCGAACGCUUCCGGGGCUUCGGUCGCGGAGGAGUGGCGCACGGGUGAGUAGCGCGUGGGAACCUGCCCUGUUGUGGGGGAUAACCGAGGGAAACUUCGGCUAAUACCGCAUACGCCCGGGGGAAACUCCGGGGAAAGAUUUAUCGCAGCAGGAGGGGCCCGCGUCGGAUUAGGUAGUUGGUGGGGUAACGGCCCACCAAGCCUGUGAUCCGUAGCUGGUCUGAGAGGAUGAUCAGCCACACUGGGACUGAGACACGGCCCAGACUCCUACGGGAGGCAGCAGUGGGGAAUAUUGGACAAUGGGCGCAAGCCUGAUCCAGCAAUGCCGCGUGAGUGAUGAAGGCCUUAGGGUUGUAAAGCUCUUUCGCCCGCGACGAUGAUGACGGUAGCGGGAGAAGAAGCCCCGGCUAACUUCGUGCCAGCAGCCGC
rnacentral:rRNA from 1 species